CCGGUCGCUGUGCCAUGCGUCAGAUGUAAUGACGCGCAUGUGGACUGGCGGGGUUCUUCACGGAAUCACUCACGUGGCUCCGAAGUAAAAUUAUUUUGAAUUUUAAUUUUUUUUUUGAAAGAUUA